GCUGCGGUGGCCGAGUCGUUAAGGCGCUGGCCUUAUGAGCCGGUUAAGUUAGAUUCUUAUCCUGGGUUCAAAUCCCAGCCGCAGCG
rnacentral:tRNA from 1 species